UCGUGAGAUGUUGGGUUAAGUCCCGCAACGAGCGCAACCCUCGACCUUAGUUGCCAGCAUUCAGUUGGGCACUCUAAGGUGACUGCCGGCUAAAAGUCGGAGGAAGGUGGGGAUGACGUCAAAUCAUCAUGCCCCUUAUGACCUGGGCUACACACGUGCUACAAUGGGCGGUACAAAGGGUCGCGAACCCGCGAGGGGGAGCCAAUCCCAAAAAGCCGCUCUCAGUUCGGAUUGCAGGCUGCAACUCGCCUGCAUGAAGCCGGAAUCGCUAGUAAUCGCGGAUCGGCAUGCCGCGGUGAAUACGUUCCCGGGCCUU
rnacentral:rRNA from 1 species